AGCAGCCGCGGUAAUUCCAGCUCCAAUAGCGUAUAUUAAAGUUGUUGCAGUUAAAAAGCUCGUAGUUGAAUUUUGGGUUUGGCCGAUUGGUCCGUUCUUGUAGCGAGUACUGGUCGGUUGAGCCUCAUCGCUUGGGGAAGCGUAAUGUCCUUUAUUGGGUGUUGCGAAUAGUCCAAGACCUUUACCUUAGAAAAAAUUAGAGUGUUUAAAGCAAGGCAUAUGCCAGAAUACAUUAGCAUGGAAUAAUAGAAUAGGACAAUGAUUCUAUUUUGUUGGUUUCUAGGACCGUUGUAAUGAUUAAUAGGGAUAGUUGGGGGCAUUAGUAUUCAAUUGUCAGAGGUGAAAUUCUUGGAUUUAUUGAAGACUAACUACUGCGAAAGCAUUUGCCAAGGAUGUUUUCA
rnacentral:misc_RNA from 1 species